GACGAACGCUGGCGGCGUGCCUAAUACAUGCAAGUUGAGCGCUGAAGGUUGGUACUUGUACCAACUGGAUGAGCAGCGAACGGGUGAGUAACGCGUGGGGAAUCUGCCUUUGAGCGGGGGACAACAUUUGGAAACGAAUGCUAAUACCGCAUAAAAACUUUAAACACAAGUUUUAAGUUUGAAAGAUGCAAUUGCAUCACUCAAAGAUGAUCCCGCGUUGUAUUAGCUAGUUGGUGAGGUAAAGGCUCACCAAGGCGAUGAUACAUAGCCGACCUGAGAGGGUGGUCGGCCACAUUGGGACUGAGACCCGGCCCAAACUCCUACGGGAGGCAGCAGGAGGGAAACUUCGGGAAUGGACGAAAGUCUGACCGAGCAACGCCGCGUGAGGGAAGAAGGUUUUCGGAUCGUAAAACUCGGUUGGUAGAGAAGAACGUUGGUGAGAGUGGAAAGCUCAUCAAGUGACGGUAACUACCCAGAAAGGGACGGCUAACUACGUG
rnacentral:rRNA from 1 species